AGUGAACGCUGGCGGCAGGCCUAAUACAUGCAAGUCGAACGGCAGCACAGCAGAGCUUGCUCUGUGGGUGGCGAGUGGCGGACGGGUGAGGAAUACAUGGGAAUCUGCCCAGUCGUGGGGGAUAACGUAUGGAAACGUACGCUAAUACCGCAUGCGCCCUACGGGGGAAAGCCGGGGACCGGCAAGGCCUGGCGCGAUUGGAUGAGCCCAUGUUCGAUUAGCUAGUUGGCGGGGUAAAGGCCCACCAAGGCGACGAUCGAUAGCUGGUCUGAGAGGAUGAUCAGCCACACUGGAACUGAGACACGGUCCAGACUCCUACGGGAGGCAGCAGUAGGGAAUAUUGGACAAUGGGGGCGAACCCUGAUCCAGCCAUGCCGCGUGAGUGAAGAAGGCCCUCGGGUUGUAAAGCUCUUUUGUCCGGAAAGAAAGCAAUCGGUUAAUACCCGGUUGUCUGACGGUACCGGAAGAAUAAGCACCGGCUAACUUCGUGCC
rnacentral:rRNA from 1 species